AUUCGAGAUAUUGAAUGCGGUGGUUUCGUCUACCCUGUAGUACCGAGCUGUGUUUGAGUGAUUAUGCAUACACGAUCGGUUGCCGGGUGAAUGACGCUGCCCAUAUAUUUUCCAUUUACCGU
rnacentral:precursor_RNA from 9 species